GCUGACAGGGUGCUGUGCAGACAUGGCCCAAGGAGGAGAGCAGAAUAUCUAUCUACUGAAUCCUGGCAGAAGAACUUGAACCUUCAAAAAGGGCAAGAAACUCUCAGCAUAACUGGGUAGAACAAAAGAAGAAAAGAGAAGAGAGAGAGAGAAAAGGAAUCAGAAUGGGACUAGCAUUCUGGAGAGGAAGCUGUGAAAGAGGAAAGGAAUGUACACUCCAGGAAGACACCUAACCAACGGGGAGAUCAGCCAAGACAGAGGAAACUCAAAGUCGCCAAGAAAAGUGCAGCAGCUGGAUUGAGAAGGGUAAAGUAGAGUGAGAGCUGCAUAGACCAUCUGCCCCAGACAGCACAGCCUGAGAUGUUUGGGUGGAGGCGGGGCACAGACUCAGGCUCUGGAGGUCAGUUUCAGGGAGAGGACUAAGGUUGGCUGUGUGGAGAGAACCUGAGGGGCUAAGGAGCAGUGUGCCUUGGGCUGGAGAGCAGAACGCCAUAGCAGAGGGAACCCAGGAGGAAGUCUGGGCCCACAGAAGCAAGGCGCCAUUGUUGGGAAAGGUGAGAGGAAUGGGGGUAGACUGCCAUAAAAAACUCCCUGUACACAUGGACUCUCAGAGGGCAGGGCACCUCUGGCACAAGCUAUGGGUGGUGAGAAGCCAUUUGCUCAAGCUGUGGGAGACCAGGCACUUCUUGUGUAGGCUACAGGUAUCUGGGCACCUCUUAUGUGGGCUAAGGGCAGCAGGCAGCUAAGUGUGAGGUGGUGCCUCUUGCGUGAUCUACAGGUAGCAGGGACAAACCACCACAGUCAUCUCAGAAACCAGAGGGAGGCAUGGCCUGCCACCACUAGGGGCCUGUGAGCAGGCUACACUGUGGUCCCAGUUACCUCAAAGGUCAGCAAAAAAAGAGGGCACUGCAACUGAGCACCACCUGUUGUUGCUCUCAAUCCCCUGGGAACACAACCAUCCUGCUGCUGCCACUGCCAAAUGCUCUGGGCAGCACCCAGAUGCUUGAUCACUGUCCCUUCCCAAACCCUACAACUAGGAGCAGCUGGUGCAGCACCUCCUGCAUGGGCUAAGUGGGACAGGGUGCUUUUUGUGUGGUCUACAGGUGGUGGGGGCAAACUACUGCAGUUAUCUCUGUCUCUAGAGGUGGGCAUGGCCUGCCACUAGGGGUCCAUGAACAGGCACCACCUAUGGCCCCAAUCACCUUAGAAGGCACUGUGACCAAACACUACCUGUUAUUGCUCUCACUCCCCUAGGAAAUCAUACACCCUGCUGUUUCCACUGCCAAAUGUUCUGGGAACCUUGUAAAUCUGCUUAAGGCUCAUUACCACUUCCCAGGGCCCUACAACUAGGAGUAGCCUGUGCCACCUUUCUCAGGCUCCUGCUGCUAAGAGCCUAGCAACCAGGAAUGGAAUACUAUCCCUACCCAUUGCCUCCUUCUCCCUGGAAACACACUCAGCACCCUGUGGAUAAUAGCCUGCUCACAAUGAAGAAAGAGGCAGCAAAUAUCCAAACUCCCAUACCAAAAAUAAAUAGUAACCCCCCACAAAAUACAAAGGGGUACUCUUGCAUAGAAGUAGCCCUGCCAGACUACAAUUUGGCUUCCCUAAACUCACAGAAAAACAUAAGCAACAUGAAGAAUCUCAGGAACCAUUCCCAGUUAAAAGAACAGGAGAAUUCACCUGAAGCAGCAAACGAUAAAACAAAGCUCUUCAGUCUGAUAGACACUGGGUUCAAAAGAGAGAUAGUGAAAAUACUGAAGGAAUUAAGGCUGAAUAUCAAGAAAUUAAGAGUGGAUAUGAACAGUAAUGUAGAUUUCUUUAGAAAGGAACUCCAGAAGGAGAAGAAAAAGAAAAGGGGAUUGAAAAUAUAUUUGAAGAAAUUAUGGCUGAAAACUCUCCAAAUCUAAAGGAAACUGAUAUCAACAUAUAGGAAGCACAAAAGGCCCCAAACAAGUUGAACCCAAAUAGGACCACACUGAGACAUAUUAUAAUAAAAAUGGAAAAAGUUAAAGUGAGGAUUCUAAAGGCAGCAAGAGAAAAACAAAGUGUUAAUUAUAAGGGAACCCCCAUAAAGCUAUAAGCUGAUUUCUCUACAAAACACUACAGGCACAAGAGACUAGCAAGAUAUAUUCAAAAUUCUAAAAGGAAAAAAACUGCAGCCUAGAAUACUCUACCCAGCAAAAAUACAAUUUACAAUAAAUAGAAAGAGAAAUAAAGAAUUUCUCCAACAAACAAAAGCUAAGAGAGUACAGCAAUACUAAGCCCAUUCUAAAAGAAAUACUGAAAGGGCUUCUCUAAAUAAAAAAAGAAGUAAGAAGAAAUAGGAUGAAGGAAAUCACAAUUUGAAAGCAAUCACUUAAAUAAGCCAGCAUACACAUCUAAAAGGAAAAAAAAAAAAAAAAA
ensembl:lncRNA